rnacentral:tRNA from 1 species
GGGCCGGUAGAUCAGUUGGAAGAUCGCUUCCUUGGCAUGGAAGAGGCCGCGAGUUCAAAUCUCGCCCGGUCCA